UACGUAGGGGGCAAGCGUUGUCCGGAUUUAUUGGGCGUAAAGAGCGUGUAGGCGGCUUGGUAGGUCCGCUGUGAAAACUCGAGGCUCAACCUCGAGAUGUCGGCGGAAACCACUUGGCUAGAGUCCGGAAGAGGAGAGUGGAAUUCCCGGUGUAGCGGUGAAAUGCGCAGAUAUCGGGAAGAACACCUAUGGCGAAGGCAGCUCUCUGGGACGGUACUGACGCUGAGACGCGAAAGCGUGUGGAGCGAACAGG
rnacentral:rRNA from 1 species